GUGAACGCUGGCGGCAGGCCUAACACAUGCAAGUCGCGCGGCAGCGCGGGGGCCACCCUGGCGGCGAGCGGCGGACGGGUGAGGAAUUCGUCGGAAUCUGCCUUUUUGUGGGGGAUAACGUAGGGAAACUUACGCUAAUACCGCAUACGUCCUACGGGAGAAAGUGGGGGACCGCAAGGCCUCACGCAGAAAGAUGAGCCGACGACCGAUUAGCUAGUUGGUGGGGUAAAGGCCCACCAAGGCGACGAUCGGUAGCUGGUCUGAGAGGAUGAUCAGCCACACUGGGACUGAGACACGGCCCAGACUCCUACGGGAGGCAGCAGUGGGGAAUAUUGGACAAUGGGCGCAAGCCUGAUCCGGCCAUGCCGCGUGUGUGAAGAAGGCCUUCGGGUUGUAAAGCACUUUUGUCCGGAAAGAAAUCCCUGGAGCUAAUACCUUCGGGGGAUGACGGUACCGGAAGAAUGAGCACCGGCUAACUUCGUG
rnacentral:rRNA from 1 species